UACGUAGGGGGCAAGCGUUGUCCGGAAUCAUUGGGCGUAAAGAGCGUGUAGGCGGCCUUCUAAGUCGGACGUGAAAGCCCCAGGCUUAACCUGGGAACUGCGUCCGAUACUGGGAGGCUUGGAUUCGGGAGAGGGAUGUGGAAUUCCAGGUGUAGCGGUGAAAUGCGUAGAUAUCUGGAGGAACACCGGUGGCGAAGGCGGCAUCCUGGACCGAGAUCGACGCUGAGGCGCGAAAGCUAGGGGAGCAAACGGG
rnacentral:rRNA from 1 species